rnacentral:lncRNA from 1 species
AAGAACCGUCACAGAAUCUUAAUCAACCCAACAAUAUCGUACUGCAUCAAAAUGGCAGAAAUACAGUGACAGUUAAAUGGAAAGCUUGUAUUUAUGACAAUCCCGCUGGUUUCAACAUUUCUUUUUACGAAGAUGGAGGAAAGAUACUGAAAUGUGGAGUGAGUAUUAAAUUAUUAUAGCUAAUGCUCAAUUUUAGAACUAGCUAUAUACGUAUACGUAUAACACAAACAAAUUAAACUGCGUCCGUCAAUGACAUAUAAGCAAGUGCUAUACUACUUCUGUGAUUUGGCGGUCAAAAUAACGCUGGGAAGUUGAGGGGUCAUCAGGACUGCAAAUCAGCACUGGGGAGGGGAAUCUCCUCACUAUUUGAGGUAGAGAAUAAAUAUAUAAUUUAUCCUCGGCACCUUUUGCCAUAGUUUGCUUUCUUUACAAUUCAAGAUACGUGGUUAUUAAUAGUUAUUCAAUCAGCAUAAAUUGUAUUCGGACUGACAUCGUUUUAGAGCUGCUACAUCGGUUCGUUUUCAUAAUCGAUUAAUUGUUAUUAACAAUCGAUUAAUAUGGAUUAAUCGUACUGAUUAAUUAUUCUUACAUUGACAUGUGCCUCAACAAUUCAAUCCUUAUUUACGUUUGAAAUUAUUGUUUUCACCAAGUUAUAUGUUGGACACUUUCUCGCGCACGCAGAGUUCACACAAGUAGGCAACUGACAAGGCAAUGACGAUGUUUAAUUUACGAUUGACACUUCUUGCUGUAAUGGCCCAGACACAUCGAAUCCGAUUUGGCAACGCAGCUCAAUUUUUCAAUUUUCAAACGUUAAUACAACCGUCUAUAUGAAAAUAAAUUUUAAAAGCUAUAUGCAGUCCAAAUUACUCAGCAUGUUAUAAGUGCUUACAGUACCUACUGAAUAUCUAAAGAACUUAAAUCAGGAUCAAAGUUACCUGUCAGUGAAAGGGAAUACUAAUGAAUCUAUCAUGCUGUGCAGAAUUGUUAUAGUGUAUAGAUGAUCCGAUUGUCAAGUGUAAUCGAUUGGGGGCGGGGAAGAAAAAAUCGUCGAUCAGUCGAUUAAUUGGGAGCAGCUCUACUGUAACACAUCAUUUUGCGAUUGAAAGUCUUAAUUUAAAAGAACGAUUAUCGUAAUAAGUAUAACAACCUCUGAAAGCGCUAUAUCCCACACCAGCUAUACUAAAUAAAUACUUGUUGUGGAAUUUACAUCGGAUAGUAAAGUGGCAUUUGGUUUAAUACUGUCUCCCCCCGUCCGUUACCUUUAGGUUAGCCUGCGAACAGGCUCUCAAGCUGAAUUGAGAGCCUGCAUCGAUGACUAAUGAAUUUGAAUAUCUGCCCCGUAACGUUCGUUUUUCCAAAUAUGGAAUGUCUAUCCUUAUAUGGUGUUGUUUACAACUUUCGUGCAAACUAAAUUUAGACCGUGCAAACUAAAUUUAGACCGUGCAAACUAAAUUUAGACCGUACAGUUUAUACUGUUUUUCGAAAUAUAAGAUAUUCAAGCAAAAGUUCAAAUGUUUUAAAUACUGUUUUCUCAAAACAGAACAUUUCGUGCUUUGAGAAAGAUGGCCAAGACCAAUUUGAUCAGUUAAUGUGUUUUUUAUGCAUAGUGCUUCAGCAGUUGACAUAUAUAGAGCUCAGCGGAGACAUAUAAAUUAUAGCAUCUGACCAAUGAGAAUUUCGCGUCACGAUUUGAGACGCAGAUAUUCAAAUUCAUUAGUCAUUGAUGCAGGCUCUCAAUUCAGCUUGAGAGCCUGUUCGCAGGCUACCUUUAGGUAAUCGACCAAACGACUCUUCUGCUUCUCUAUGCUGUGGCGUGGAAGUUUUAGUUUCAUUUCAUUCCGCGCCUGUAUUACUCUCUCGUAUAUGAUGGGCGAAAACCUCUGCCGAGAAGAGGGUAAUAUAGAUUCAUGCCUCGUGGUUUAUUGAUUGCUCACCCUAACCUAACCUUAAUCGCUGACCCUAACCCAUAAACAGGUAGACAUGAAUUUGAAUUUGAAUUUAUUAAUUGACGUUCCAUAAAAUGGGCUUUUCAAUGGCUAUUUACAUUAAUGUUAAAAAGACUGAAUAAUGAAUUAUCAACUAUAUUUACAACAAUCUUAUCAUUAUGAUUAAUUAAUACAAGUUAAUACGUAAACUAUAAGGGUAUACUUUAUAUUAUAGUUUAUGAGUUAAAAAAAAGACAUCGCUUUUCAAUAAGAAUUGUCUUAAGUUUCGUCUUAAAAUAGUUCAAAUCACUAAUCGAUUUCAGCUCUGUAUCUAGACCAUUCCAUAUCUUAGUCCCUCGGUAUUUGAACAAUCUUUUACCGAUCGAUGUCCUAAAUUUUGGAAAAUCCAGGUCUCCAUUUCUUCUAGUAUCUUGGUGGUUAUGAAUUCUGUUUCGUUGUUCAAAGUUAUCACAUAAAUACUGUGGACCUUUGUCAUGCAUCUAUAUCCGAGAAGAGAACUUGGGACGUUACCACGGUCAGCACUACAGAAUCCGCACAAGAUAAACGCCUUCCCGAAAACCAUUGUAAAGUUGCUUAUUCCUCAUGUUCUGCUGUAGUUAGCAACAUAUGUUAUUUAUUUUUUACUGUGUAUAGCAAAAGGUUAUCCCAGAAAAUUGCUACCUAGUUUGUAAUUGGGAAUGCAAGUGUGUUUUCGCUUACCUGCGCCCAUAUACGAAUUACACCGUCAGUAUUUACUCCUAUACUGGAUUGGGACAUAAGUCACGCAGUGUUUCUGGUGUGAAGGUGCUUAGGACAGCUGAGCAAG